rnacentral:ncRNA from 1 species
AAAAAAGUUUUAUUUUAGCUUAAAUUAUAGGUUUAUAAUUAAUUUAUAUGUAAAUUUUUGUGAUUAUUUUAUUGAUUUUAGAAAAAUUAGUAAUUAAAAAAAUAUGAUCGCAGUAAAAAAAAUUAAUUCAUUAAAGAAAUUUAGAGUUAAUAAUUUAUAUUAGUAAGAACAAAAUUUGUGCCAGCAGUUGCGGUUAUACAAAUUUUACAAUCUAUAAUUUUUAAUUUAUAAUUAAAUUAAAUUUUUAAGUAAAAAAAUAAUUGAUUUAUUAGGUGAAAUUUUUAAUUAUGAUAAAUUUAUUUUAAAUUUUUUAAAGUUAUUAAAUUUUAUUUUAAACUAGGAUUAGAUACCCUAUUAUAAAAAUGUAAAAUGAUUUUGUAUUAAAUUAUUAAUAGUUAAAGGCUUUAAAGUUAAAAAUUUUGGCGGUACUUUAGUCUAUUUAGAGGAACCUGUCCUAUAAUUGAUGAUCCACGAUUAGAAUUAUUAAAUUUAAGAAUUUGUAUAUCGUCGUAGUAGAAUAUUUUUUUAGAAUAAAAAUAUUCAUAAUUUUAUUUUAAAGAUUAAAUCAGAUCAAGGUGCAGUUUAUAGUUUAGAAGAGAUGGGUUACAAUAAUAAUAAUUAUGGAUUUAAAAUUUAAAUUUUUUAGUGAAAUUGGAUUUAAUAGUAAUUUUAUUUAUUUAAUUAAAAUGAUUUUAGCUCUAUAGUAUGUACAUAUCGCCCGUCGCUCUCGUUUAAAAUGAGAUAAGUCGUAACAUAGUAAAUGUACUGGAAAGUGUAUUUAGUAAA